rnacentral:tRNA from 1 species
GCUGGCUUUCGCAGGCGGCGGUGCUGCGCUGGCCGCUGGUGGUGGCCGCCCUGGUGGCGCUGGGCUAUCUGGCGUUCCAGGGGCCGCGCCUGUG